AAAGGCGCAGCGCUGCGCCCGCCCUUCCCUGGGGGGGGGGCCCGGGGCGCUGCGGGGUCCCCUCGCCUGCAACCCCCUUCCUCGCAAUGGGGAGCGCUCGGGAGGGGCGCCCCGGUAGGGCUGGCGGGGGGCAGCGGCGCCUCCCGGGGAUGGUUACCUGCGAGGCAGCCGGUACCGGAGCGCUGCGGGCAGCGGCCGGAGGGGAGCGAGAGGCAUGGCCCGAGUUUUUUGGGAGCUCCGUGUAAACAUUCCUACCCCUCCUACCGAAUGGGGAGCGCGGACUAACGGAUGUUUUCUAAUGGCACAGAAGUGUUACACGGACGGCACGCUGUCAGCGCUGGGGAAAUUAAGGCAACAACACCAACCAGCCAACACACCUUGCCUUCUCUGCACAGGGGCUUUGCAGCCUUCCCUGUAGCACCAGGGCUGCAUCGCAACCACGGGUCCACUGCCGUGACCUUCUGACCACCCUCAACAGUCUGGGCACUGAACUGUGAGGAAACCAAAAGGAAUCAUGACAACCCCACGCUUUGUGUGUAAAUAUGAAAGAUCAAAGGACGCGCAUGUUGUUUGGCAGACCGUGGCUGUAAACGGUACCGCUGGCUGCAAGAAAGGAACGACUGUUACAGCAGGCAUCUCAGAAGCAAAGGCAAAGGAAGAAGUCUCUGACCUCUACCUCCCAAGCCAAGGAAAACAUGUUCCUGUAGUGCGUAGGUAUGGGAACGCACCACUGACCUCUGUCCUCAAACUCCUUCCAACCAGAACAACCUUUUAAUCCUAAAGAGCUUUUGUGCUGCAACCACAUCCAUGUCUUGGGCAGAGUUUUCUGUCUUGGCCUUAGCAAAGAUGCCUCAUCCUCAGACAGGCUGCUUCUCGACGCAGAGCGGAAUUUGCAAUCAGACACUAGGUUGCUACUGUGUAAUCUAUUAAAACCCAAAUCUUGUAAACUGAGGACUAAUAAGGAAAUUGCAAGUUUGUCACUGGCUCUUUCUUACAUGCUUCACUGACCAUCAGCUAAUGCAAAUGAACACCACAGACAUAUUGCUUGUAUAAUGUAAAGCAAAGAGCCACGUAAAUACAAUUUUUAGAAACACAUUUUUGCAAAAACAUUUGUAUUUGACCCUCUGAUGGAGGGAACAGGACAAUCAGACUGCAAGGGCGCUAAAGGAAAUUUUACUGGUUUUGAAAUAGAUGACUGGAAACUCAUCCCAAUGCCUUCAUGGAAACCUCAAGCCACUGUUAUCCCACUGACUAGAACUUUUUGUAGUAGCAGAUUAUAAGAAUAAACUACAUUUUCAGUAUAAGCACAUUUCCUUCAGGCAGGCAUCCUUUUUGUAGCAUACAAAAAAAAAAAACCCAACAACAAAAGGUCAAAAUGCAACUAGACCUCAGAUUUAAUUCAAUCUUUUAUUCAUCAUCAAAUUCAAAAGUUAGGAAGGGAAGCUGUCUUGGGAUCCUGCCUUGCCCUGAGAUACCUGUCUUACCCUUCUAAAAAACCUAUCACUUUACAUAAUUCCUGCGUAAGAUGACAAACGCUAUCUGUAAGACAUUGAAACACCCUUGUGGAGCUCUAACCCUUUUACUGGAAGUGAUCACUGCCCAGCCUGACAUGAGACACUCAUUAUUUUACCCCUUUUGUCAGAGGCCUCGAAUCAAUUGAUUCCUCAAGCUGUCAAUUAAAAACAUUUUAAAAACGUGUGAAAGACCCACACUUGUAAAACCAGGGUGGUUUUUGGUCGAACACAACCAGUCCAGGUAUGUAUACACACCCCAGCUGGAGAAUGUUAUCAUCUUUUCACCAGUUUCUUACGGAAUGGUUCUCAAAUUCUUAUCUGGGAUAAGUCCUCCUUACACGCAGUAAAUUAGAAGAGAUUUGAAUGGCACCUUCAAAUCUACUGCUCGACAUGCCGUGCUUGCAUGGGAGCUGUAGAAAAAAGCAGAAGAGUCUUUUUGCAGUUUCUUAGCUCAGCUUUAGAAAAAGUAGAGGUCUUUAAGAUGUAAUACAGCACUUGUACUACGAAACCAAGAACACAAACCCACAGUCAGUAGGCGUGCAGCAGCAGAAGCAAAGAGGCCGAAGCUCUGCUCGGCAAGCAGGAAGAGGAGGAGCUGCGUUACAGAGAGCAGGUCCCAGAGCCUCUCCGAACACCACUUGCAGAAAAAGCCUCAAGACAGACAAUGCCAAGACCAUGAACAGUCUUUACUUCUAUCAGUUGUUUCACAGCACAAUGAGACACAGCACAAAGUUUGUACAGCGGGAUCUGCAGACAGUUUAAAAACAGGCAAUUAUCUUUAAUAAAAAGCAUCGAGUCUGAAUGUGAAAAAAUAUGAAGACAAACAAUAUUGCAGCUAACGAUCACCUUGCUUGCCUUUGAUUGUCUAAGAAGUCCGACUCACUGCUUCUUAUAGUGCCUUUAAUGUUCUCCACACCAUCUUCUCCAAACACCCUAGUUAGAGGAAAGCUUAAUGGGUCCCAACUACCACGUGCAGUAUGUUUCACACCUUGUCCUCUUGCUUUCAAACCCUGUGUGCAGUGUGUGGGGAGAUGCAACGGCUCUCAUCGUACGACAUUCUGAUUCACAAAGAAGCAGCACAAGUGUUGUACAUAAUUUAAUUUGCACUUCCGUAUAUAAAUGUUUACUAUAUUGCACACUAUCGCAGCACUUAAAAACAUCUAGUUAUUUGCAAAAAUUAGUAAAAUACUUUAAAGGAUUUAAAAAUAAGGGUUUUAAUGCAACUGACAAGAUAAUAAAAAAAGCAAUUUACUUAAUGAGAUACAAUCCUUUAUGUUGGAAAUGAAAGUUACAUACAACUAGAGUACAAUUAAAAUAUACCAUAUAGUUCAACACUUAAUUCCUCAAAUGUGUAAAAUUAACAAGCGUCUACUGUCAUAGAUAUACAAUUUUUCCAUAUUGUGAAAAGGAUUUCUCAAAUUAAAUACAGGUAACAUAAUAUUCUGUAGUUAUAUUGUAUGACUGUGUUUAAAUGAGAGGGUUGUAUAAUACUCACAUUGUCAAAUGUACUCACUAAUGCCUUGGAAAUUGCACACUUCCCCUCCUUUUCCAAAAUAGGUUCUCAUUUCCAUACUGAAGUCUAUUAUGCCAUAUUGGAAAAGUAUUUUACUUUCUAACAGGAUUUUCAUAAAAUUAAAAAAUAGCAUAGUAUCAUGGCAUUAAGAUGACUUUUCCACUUAUGCCCACGUAGAAUUUAAUCUGGAUAUCAGACAGACACGUCAGAACCAAUUUCCUAGACUUUUGUCUUACUGUACACGCAAGAUGAAUGAUUACAGUAUUUUACAAAACAGAAAAAUGUCUGAACCUUACUAGAAUUAUAAAUGUAAUGAUUAAAAAUUAAAAUCAUAACAGAAUCAACUUGUGAUCUCCAACAUUUAUUAAAAUCUUUUAAAGUUCAUAAACGACAACAAAGUUACUGUAGAAUUUAUCGCAUACAGCUAGCAUACAGCAGCAUGUCCUUGGUCUAAAUGAAAUACAAAAGGUUUUAACGUUUUCAUACAAAGGAUUUCUUUAAAUUUAUUAAUGUGACGAUAUAUCUUUGUUACAUAAAAUUUGCUACAGCAAAGUAUCUUAUACUUUUCUUGCACAUACGGGUGGACAAAGACUGCGUUCAGUGUCAGCCUCCUAAUGACGUUGUGCAAAAAUGCUCAACACCCUAAACAUACAGAAUGUCGGAUGGUAUGUUUCAUACUCUUCUGUAAAAUGUCUACAAAGGCUUUUCUUGAAGGAGUGUCGUACAGAUUAAAAGGAAGGAAUGCCCGUGGAUUAUUUGCACCGGCAUUCAAACAAAUACAAUGGCUAUGUAUCAAUAUAGCUCUUUUUUAAUUUUUAAAAACAAUUCAUCCUUGUAUGCAUGUAAAUUUAUCAUAAAAUAUGAGGCUAGUUUAAACUGUUUAGAUGUGCUGUUUUUAAGACAGGUCACUGAGACAGCCAGAAUCAAGUGUACAAAUAAAAACUACUAUGAAUAAGUUUAAAAGCAACCCCCAAAAAAGUGCUGAGCCACUGAUUAUUAACAUUGAAAUAAAUGUGUAAAAGUGCCCAAAGCUAGCACAUGGUAGCAGUAUCUUUUAAGUCAGUUGGUGAGAGUAUACAAAACAUAAUUAAGCCCAAAUACUUAUAUCUGUGUGACCAUACAUUCUGUUUGAUUGAAAGAAAAGUAGGUUAGAAAUGAAGACACAAUGCAACUAAAAUAAACCCAGCUGUUGCAGUUUUUAAACUUUGUCUCUUUUCUUCAUGAAUGAAGUGCUGUAAUUAAAGAGAAAAUGAUUGUAGCAGUACUCCAUCCUCAGUUUACUAAUAUAGUAUACCAGAAUAAAACUUGGCAAUAACCUCUUAUUCUUAACAGCUAACAAAAAAUAACCGUGUUCAUCCAGCGAUGCAUCUAGAACAUUAUUUUGCAUUUGCUAAACCAUUUGUUUUUCACAGCUAAUGGCAGAGCGCAUUUCGCUUUUUGUGGGGUGGUGGUUUGGAUUUUAAUGAGUGCCUUUUUUAAUCAAAAAAGGCUCAAAACAAGGAAUACUUUUGGGAGCCCAAACAUUGGCUUUUUUAUUUAAAAAAAAAACAACAAAACAAC